rfam:Mus musculus chromosome 13, GRC primary reference assembly.
CGCACCUGGCAAUGGGCAAAGAGAUAUCUUGUUGGCAGUGAUGUUCUUCUAUCAGUCAGGGCAGAGCAGACAUCCGAUCUUUGUUCAUCCUAGAUUGAUGCCUGGCUUGGUGGCCAGAGCUCUUUUAUGACUAGGACACAUAA